CUCGCUCGCAGAUCGCAGAACUUUGGUUUUCAUCGCAGACGAUCGCAGAAGAGAGAACAUGGUCGUAUCUUCUGCGAUCACGAUCUCAGACGAUCGCAGAAGUAUGUUUCCACAUGCUCUCAAAACUUUCUGCGAUCUGCGACCGUCUGCGAUCAUAUGGAAACCAGCCUUAAGUUUUCAUAUUGGGGCUAAUUUAAAACUUCCCGUGGUAAAUAAGCCAUUAAUGUUACUAGUUUGAUUUUCAGCAGUUUUGUUAUAACAGUUUGUGAUAUUGCAACUUAAAAAUUUUUUUCAAUACGUCAGCCUUUUGUGAUCGCUUGGUGUUGUAACCCGGUAAGAGUGGUUGUCAGCAGUAGUAAUGUCUCGAAUGUCAAUCGUAUCGAAUUGUUUUUAACUAGCAUACAUUCUAUUUUAUAGCUUUGCGUUAUUUUGCAACUGGUAACCUCUUACAACCAUUCUGUCGGUGAAAUUACGAGUAAAGUUUUUGAUGUGUUUAAUGUGUCAGUGAAAGAUUGAAAAUAUAUAAUAAUAGCUAAGGAUACGUUUCAUCAAUAAUGCCUUUAACGCCAGCUUUACACUUCCGCUUGUUUCAGCUUUGUCUGUGGUGGACACGACACUCUUACUAAUACAAAAUUUAUACUACCAAUCUAAUAAGGAUUGGAUAUUUCGUCAAAAACAACGCGAAGUCUGUCGUAGUUAAUACUGUGCUCUAAUUUCAAUUAUGAACGGGAAAGAUGCGAAACAGUUUCUUCUAAGGAGUCGGAGUUGCGCAGUCGUGAAGGCGCGCCAUACGUAACCGAAUGUGACAAUCUAAAACUGGUCCUGAGUACUGUUUGUUGUGUUGCUUGAGGCUGGCUCGAUGGCUUCCUCAGUCAUUUAAUGGAUGAUGAAUGUUUCGUCUACGUAAGCGAACUGCAGUAUUCAUGUCGCAAAAAUGUGAGAGAAACAUUGACCAGGAUGGGAAUUAAACCCACGACCUCUGGAU